UUCAACCUAGACCUACUUUAAUGACUAAAAAAAAGUCUCUUUCACACACUGACAUUUAACAAUGACUUCAAUAAUUCCCCAAAAAAUACUUAUUAGUUCCUUGCAAUGUCUUUAUACAGUAGGACGGAAGCGGAAGGCCCUGCAGGUGUCAAAAGGUGGACCAUCUGCAAAGAUCGCAAUUUUCCACCAGUCACCACUGGUUGGUGGAGCCUCCGCCCCAGCCCCAACCCCAUCUAGCCCUGCUGCUCCAUCCACCCUUCCUGCCCCAUCCGGCCCUGCUGCUCCACCAAGCCCUACUGCCCCAUCCCAGCCGGCAUUUCAGAAUGUCCACAGCCUUGUGAGGACAUGCUCAGGGCAUCGGAGCAAAAGAUACCAGAUAACGGUGGAGGAGAUCAGGAGGAGGACUGCUCCACCUGAUUGCAAACUAUUCAAAGACAGACCACAACAAGCGGCAGAUACAAAC